rnacentral:rRNA from 1 species
UACAGAGGGUGCAAGCGUUGUUCGGAAUUACUGGGCGUAAAGCGCGCGCAGGCGGGAUGGCAAGUCGGAUGUGAAAGCCCUCGGCUCAACCGGGGAAGUGCAUUCGAAACUGCUGUUCUUGAGUGUCGGAGAGGGUGGUGGAAUUCCCGGUGUAGAGGUGAAAUUCGUAGAGUAUUCGGAAGAACACCAGUGGCGAAGGCGACAUACUGGCUCAUUACUGACGCUGAGGCUCGAAAGCGUGGGGAGCAAACAGG